rnacentral:rRNA from 1 species
UGCUACGGCCGCGUGGCGCGUUGGUACACCCGAUCCCUCGAUCUCGGAAGUUAAGCAACGCGACGGUCCGGACAGUGGACAGUGCUUGGAUGGGAGACCAACCAAGGACGUCCGGAUUGCUGUAGCCU